UACGUAGGGGGCAAGCGUUAUCCGGAUUUAUUGGGCGUAAAGAGCGCGUAGGCGGUCAGGCAGGUCUGCUGUGAAAACUCGGGGCUUAACCCCGGAUCUGCAGUGGGUACGGGCAGACUAGAGUGCUGUAGGGGAGACUGGAAUUCCUGGUGUAGCGGUGAAAUGCGCAGAUAUCAGGAGGAACACCGAUGGCGAAGGCAGGUCUCUGGGCCUUAACUGACGCUGAGGAGCGAAAGCGUGGGGAGCGAACAGG
rnacentral:rRNA from 1 species